GCUAGGGGAGUAAAUAGUUGCUCCAAAGUUUAAUCACCUCAUGAAGGCGCAUUUAUCAAGCUUCUUGAACCAUUUGAUUAGUGAUUUGUUCGAUAAUCUCGUAGAUGAUGGGUUUCUGUCUCACUUUUCCUUGGUUGUGAUUUUCUAGCCAUAAAGACUUCAGGAGUUUCCAAAGCUGCUGGUUGUCAAACUGGUUUUUGGUUCUAAGAGUCCGGUAAGAUGUUUUUUGGAGCAGCCACAGAAGAUGUCUGUUCAUGCAAUAAAGCUGCACGGACUUGUUAGAGUAUCUUCUAACACAAUCAAGUCUAAGCUGCAAGUUUUGAAGCAUAUCGCCGUAGUUAGUCAAGACUGUCAAGGAUACUUGCUGCCCGCGGCUACUUGCUGCAAUUGUUUCAUCCACUGUGAUGAAGGCUAUUAAGCUCAUCCCGCCUUCUAUACUUGUUGGUUGCUCCUCUCUUCAUGAUCAGAUGAAAACAUCCAGGAUGGAAUUCUCUUUUGCUCACUGCCUUGGAUGGCUAAAGCCUGAUAUCUUCCUUGUCAGCCGGUGAUUUUAAACUGUCCAACCAUUCAGCAAUUUGUAGAGAUGUUAAUGAGGUGUUCUUUUUCUUCUUUUGGAACUCAAUUUGCCAUAUCUUUCAUGCUGCUUGUAGUUCAAAGUAGCC